AGAGUUGAUCCUGGCUUAGAACGAACGCUGGCGGCGCGUUUAAGCAUGCAAGUCGAGCGGCAAGGGCCUUCGGGCCCCUAGAGCGGCGGACGGGUGAGUAACACGUGGACAAUCUGCCCCCCGGCCCGGGAUAGCCCAGGGAAACCUGGAUUAAUACCGGAUGAGACGGGACCCGCGAUGGCGGGACCCGGGAAAGGCGCUGCGGCGCCGCCGGGGGAUGAGUCUGCGUCCCAUUAGCUAGACGGCGGGGUAACGGCCCACCGUGGCGACGAUGGGUAGCCGGCCUGAGAGGGUGGACGGCCACAUUGGAACUGAGACACGGUCCAGACUCCUACGGGAGGCAGCAGCUAAGAAUCUUCCGCAAUGGGCGAAAGCCUGACGGAGCGACGCCGCGUGAACGAAGAAGGCCGUGAGGUUGUAAAGUUCUUUUCGGGAGGGGGAACAACCGUGGCAGGGAAUGGCCGCGGGAUGACGUGAAUCCCGGAAUAAGCCCCGGCUAACUACGUGCCAGCAGCGGC
rnacentral:rRNA from 1 species